AUUGAACGCUGGCGGCAUGCUUUACACAUGCAAGUCGAACGGCAGCGGGGCUUCGGCCGCCGGCGAGUGGCGAACGGGUGAGUAAUGCAUCGGAACGUGCCCAGUCGUGGGGGAUAACACAUCGAAAGAUGUGCUAAUACCGCAUACGUCCUGAGGGAGAAAGCGGGGGAUCUUCGGACCUCGCGCGAUUGGAGCGGCCGAUGUCGGAUUAGCUAGUUGGUGGGGUAAAAGCCCACCAAGGCGACGAUCCGUAGCGGGUCUGAGAGGAUGAUCCGCCACACUGGGACUGAGACACGGCCCAGACUCCUACGGGAGGCAGCAGUGGGGAAUUUUCGGCAAUGGGGGAAACCCUGACCGAGCAAUGCCGCGUGAACGAUGAAGGUCUUCGGAUUGUAAAGUUCUGUGAUUGGGGAAGAAUGGUAUUCUUAGGGAAUGAGGAGUACAUGACGGUACCCGAUUAGAAAGCCCCGGCUAACUAUGUGCCAGCAGCCGCG
rnacentral:rRNA from 1 species